UUAGAGUUUUUCUCCACAAAAAAUCGAGUGUGAAUCCUAUAUCCACACUUAUCACCGCCGUUAUCCUCCGCUUAACCACCCUGAAGCUUCGUCUGUUGCUCUGCUAAACGUCCAACUGUCUAUGCUUCACUAAGCCUUGCUACAUUGAGGGAACAAUUAGAACUACUCUCGGAAGAGAAGACCCUUGGAGGGCUUCCCAGGAGGACAGCAGAUGAACUGGUAAGAUAAAACCAUUGGUGUGAGCACCAACAAGAGCAAACCAAGUUCAAACGUAACUUUGAAUUUUGCUUGGUCAAGUCGGAGAACAACCUAAUGGCUAUUUCAUUAAGCUCUUGUCCUGCAAGAAUAAAGAAGAGUUGUCAACAUUAUUUGCACCAAUACCUGUGAAGCUACCAGAGUUUGAGACUCACUAGUUUUGGUUUCGGUUUGGUUUUUAGGUAGUUGAAGGACGAGCGCUGAGCUAAAUUUGUCUUAAGAAAACAUAGCAUCUGCAUCAGAAUCCAAGUCAUGAGGGAAGAAGACCCUGCAGAAAUAGAAACAAUUCAUCAGGACAAAACCUUUACAUAAGAACAGUUUUUGGAUCUCCUCUUUAAAUGUCAUUUUCUGUAACUGAUCUAGAAAUGAUGUAAUACCGACAUGAAGAGAAAACAUGCCUGCAAGUGCUGUGGUACAAGGUUGAGCUAACUUGAUUGAUAUCACCAAGGAGAGCUAAAGCCUAAAGGCCAUAGUAUUUAAUGGAAAAAUAGUGGAAGUCUUUUACCAAGUUACA